CUGUUGGGUGAAGUUACCGAUCUCUUCCUGUCUUUUUUGCCCUCGCUCCAUCCACAUCAUCGUCAGUCCUACCCACCGGCGCCGCUGCCAUAUCUCAGACAGAAGGGUCAACUCGCCGGCGCCCAGGAGGCCCGUCUCCUGCUCCAUCAUCCACUCAUCCUUGUCGCGGCCGUGAAGGAUCAAUUUCAGCAGCUGGAGAUGGAAGAGAGGACAGAGGAGAUAGUGGAUGGGUCAUGGGUGGGUAGAGGAGGCCACCGGCAUGGAGGAAUGUAGCCGGCCACCGCUCGCAGGCGAACUCUGCCACCGGCCUCGCUGGGCCCCGCUCCAGCCUCGCACGAGGACGAGUUCCGCCAUCGCCGCAUGCGUGAGCUAGCUCCGUCGGCGACCAUGGGGAGCACAUCCACCACGCACCAGGCGAGCCUGCCGUGCGGGAGGGUGGCGAGCCAUGCCGACUGCAGGAAGCGCAUCCGGCCGUGCAGGCGAGAGCGCCGAGCUUCGGCGCGGCGUUCGCGCAGGUGCUCCACCGGCCGCAUGCGGGAGUCCGUGCUCCACCGCCACAGCCGAGUGCUCCCCCGCCGCGAGCGGGGGCCUGAACUCCGCCGCCGCAUGCGAGAGCUGCUGUCAGGGAUGAUGGGGAAGAAUCAAGGUUCGCUGCUGCUGUCGGAGAACAGGAAGAAGAAGGAGGUGGACGCUUGGGAGGUGACACGAGACAAGUCGUUAGAGCACCUUCAGCUUGCACAAGCCUUUUUUUUUGAACUUGGAAAGCAGGUUUCCAUCAGACAACUCCAGCCUGGUCUUUACAGACCAGAUUGGAGACGAAGGUGGGGACUUGGCUCAAAAGUUCAGUUGAACCAGAGCUAACCACGCUCGCCCCAUACAUUGCAAGGCAAUCAGCCACUCUGUUGCAAUUUCUCGGACAAUGUUGAAUACUGCAAUAACCAAAGGAUGAGCAAAUGAAGUCCCUGAUCUGCUUGAGGAGACAGCCAUCCACACUUUGAUCUAGCUCAGUAGUGGUCAGACCUCGCACCAAUUCCGUUGCAUCGGUUUCAAGGAUGAUUCUUGGCAUACCAAGCUGUGCAAUUCUCUCCAAACUGUGCAGAGCAGCAAGAGCUUCAGCUUGAAAAGAGGAGGCAGCCCUGUGCAAAUUACCACAGCCCCCUUCCAGAAAUUCGCCCAUACUAUUCCUCGCUACGAAACCCCAACCUCCUUGACAUGUUGCAGCCUUGAAAGCACCAUCAAUAUUUAUCUUGUACACAUUUUCAGGAGGUGGUUCCCAUCUUCUUUGCCCAAUCUGUUGCUGGAUUUUUAUUGUCCUUUGUUCCGUUUCAAAUUCUGAGACAUAAAAGGUAACCAAAGAGCAGGUCUCCAGGUC